CAGUGGGGAAUAUUGCGCAAUGGGCGAAAGCCUGACGCAGCCACGCCGCGUGAGUGAUGAAGGCCUUCGGGUUGUAAAGCUCUGUCGGGAGGGACGAAAGCGAAAGCUUGACGGUACCUCGCAAGAAAGCACCGGCUAACUCUGUGCCAGCAGCCGCGGUAAUACAGAGGGUGCAAGCGUUGCUCGGAUUUACUGGGCGUAAAGCGUACGCAGACGGUGAGGAAGGUCGGAUGUGAAAGCCCUGGGCUCAACCCAGGAACUGCAUCCGAAACCCCCUCGCUAGAGUAUAGGAGAGGGAAGCGGAAUUCCUGGUGUAGAGGUGAAAUUCGUAGAUAUCAGGAGGAACAUCUGCGGCGAAGGCGGCUUCCUGGCCUAUUACUGACGUUCAGGUACGAAAGCGUGGGUAGCAAACAGGAUUAGA
rnacentral:rRNA from 1 species